GCUUAACGCGAAGAACCUUACCAGGCCUUGACAUGCAGAGAACUUUCCAGAGAUGGAUUGGUGCCUUCGGGAACUCUGACACAGGUGCUGCAUGGCUGUCGUCAGCUCGUGUCGUGAGAUGUUGGGUUAAGUCCCGUAACGAGCGCAACCCUUGUCCUUAGUUACCAGCACGUUAUGGUGGGCACUCUAAGGAGACUGCCGGUGACAAACCGGAGGAAGGUGGGGAUGACGUCAAGUCAGUCAUGGCCCUUAGGCCUGGGCUACACACGUGCUACAAUGGUCGGUACAGGGGGUUGCCAAGCCGCGAGGUGGAGCUAAUCUCACAAAACCGAUCGUAGUCCGGAAUCGCAGUCUGCAACUCGACUGCGUGAAGUCGGAAUCGCUAGUAAUCGCGAAUCAGAAUGUCGCGGUGAAUACGUUCCC
rnacentral:rRNA from 1 species